rnacentral:lncRNA from 1 species
GGGCUGUCCCGCUCGGAGCCAGCCGGGUGACGGGUGGUGGCGGUGCUGUCGCGGCAAGGGCCGUGUCCUGCCCCUCUGGGGAUCACGGCUGGGCAGGGGCGCCCUGUCGCCCAAGGGUGCUGAGCCGUGGCCCUCCAUGGGAGCCUCCUCCCGAGGGAUUUAGGCUCCGCCCGUGGCACACCGCAGCCCACGAGCAUGGCCCGUGUCUCCGAGGCGGAGGAAGGACCUGGCGGGGGACACAGCGAGUUCAGCGACAUCAUCAAGUCCAGAACAGGCAUGACCAUGCUGUAUGUUCUUGGAUGUGUUCUCACCUACUUAGUGCUGGUGAUGCCACACCUGGAGUUGUUGGUGCAGUUCUGGGCUUCCCAGUACAGGAGAGAUGUGAACAUACUGGAGUGAGGACCGUGAUGAUGAUGAAGGGACUGGAACAUUGCUCCUGUGGGGAAAGAGAGAGAGCUGGGACUGUUCAGCUGGAAGAAAAGGAUCAGAAUCCAAGGGAUGCUACUGAAGUUUAUAAAAAUCUGGAAGGAUGGUGCAAAGAAGGUUGCUAGGCUUCUCUGAGGCCAUUGAAAGGACAAGAGGCAAGGGGAGCAAACUGAAACAGAGCAAACUCCAUUUUUGUUAAAUCCCUGUCUUGGGUUGCUUAGGUUGUGAAGUCUCUGUCACUGCAG